CACCGAGUCCGAGGUUCCGGGACUCACCGGAGCCUGGUGCAAAAGGGA
rfam:Streptomyces sp. GKT 895 contig39, whole genome shotgun sequence.